rnacentral:tRNA from 1 species
GGGGAUGUAGCUCAGUCGGUUAGAGCAGCGAACUCAUAAUUCGUCGGUCCAGGGUUCAAGCCCCUGCAUCCCCA